CAGUGUUGUUAGCAGAUAGCAUAGCGCAUGGGUUUGAGGCUGUUUGGCGAAACUCGUACAACCGUAAGAAUGAUUUGAUCGCCAAUAGUUUUGGACAUCAUGGAAAGGAAGAUGCUUAUUUUAGCUGAAGUUUAUGUGGAGUUGCUUGCGUGCUGCUAGCAUGAAGUAGCUUCGAUGUUUUCAUAGCAAAUCACUGGAUGUUACCAUUCACUGCUUGAAAAAAUCGUAAUCCUGCUACAAAUUAAAUAUAAAGCAGAGUCCAUGAGGUCGCACUCGCUGUACCUGCCACUAAAGUUGGACUACAGAGAACAAUCUGAUCUCUUCUUUUCCACAUGUGAUGGCGCAUUGGUUUCCUUUCCCAUUGGAGCCAAGUUAACUAUACCGACGCUUCUCCACCCCACAGGGG